AUGUAUCCUGUCUGGCAGGGCUAUGUUUCAGCAAAACUAUAAAGAAAUACAACAAAUCUGAGAAAUAUCUAGAUAUAUGCAUAGUCCGGAAGGAAAAUGAAAAGAAAAGGCUUUAGGCACACAUAUUUAAGAAUGACUGAUCUAAAUAUUAUUCCAACAGCUUGCAUGGGAACAUGCAUUCUUGAAAGGAGCCUGAGAAUCAAGCAACAACAUUAUAAGGCAUCUAAUCGAGGGUGUUCAUUUGGCCAAGGAAACACGAUCAUGCUUGUAUCAUGACUGUAUCACAUGAACUUUGGAAGGACCACUUCUCAGCUUACAACAACAGAGAGUCUAUUUUUAAAGAUCAGUGUGAAACAACUAAGAUAUUGAGAACUGGAGACAAAUUAAGCAGCAUCUUGAGAUGUGCCAUCAGAAACCUAAAACUGUCUUCCUGACUGCAGACAGGAAGAUGUUUUGAAGCCAAUCAAGGAACUGUGGCAUUAUGUACACUGAUUGCAGCUGGGGAAGAUGCCAGAUUGAACAUCUGCUUCUGAUCGAAAUUGAAAACGGCAGUUGAUCCAUCAAGAAUCUGUAAAGCAGUUCAGAGGCUGGGGAAUACGUAGGUAAUGGCUGACUACCUGAAACUUUAUAGCUGCUUUCAAAAUCACCAGGGGAAUAAUAAAAAGGCUCUGGAAUCAAAUACGGAAAUGGAAGAAGAGGAUGGUUUCUCAAUUUGCUUCCUCUCCUUGCACAACUACUUGGCCAAGCUGAUGUCCAACAUAUGCAGUUGGAAUUCUCAACUAUUUGCUUGUCCGAAUUGAUGCUUUUGAACUGUGGUGUUGGAGAAGACUCUUGAGAGUCCCUUGGACUGCAAGGAGAUCCAACCAGUCCAUUCUGAAGGAGAUCAGCC
rnacentral:lncRNA from 1 species